rnacentral:rRNA from 1 species
UACGUAGGGGGCAAGCGUUGUCCGGAUUUAUUGGGCGUAAAGAGCGUGUAGGCGGUCAGGUAGGUCCGUUGUGAAAACUCGAGGCUCAACCUCGAGACGCCGAUGGAAACCAUCUGACUAGAGUCCGGAAGAGGAGAGUGGAAUUCCUGGUGUAGCGGUGAAAUGCGCAGAUAUCAGGAAGAACACCAGUGGCGAAGGCGGCUCACUGGCCCGGUACUGACGCUGAGGUGCGAAAGCGUGGGGAGCAAACAGG